CCUACGGGAGGCAGCAGUAGGGAAUCUUCCACAAUGGACGAAAGUCUGAUGGAGCAACGCCGCGUGAGCGAUGAAGGCCUUCGGGUCGUAAAGUUCUGUUGUCAGGGAAGAACAAGUACCGGAGUAACUGCCGGUACCUUGACGGUACCUGACCAGAAAGCCACGGCUAACUACGUGCCAGCAGCCGCGGUAAUACGUAGGUGGCAAGCGUUGUCCGGAAUUAUUGGGCGUAAAGCGCGCGCAGGCGGUUCCUUAAGUCUGAUGUGAAAGCCCCCGGCUCAACCGGGGAGGGUCAUUGGAAACUGGGGGACUUGAGUGCAGAAGAGGAAAGCGGAAUUCCACGUGUAGCGGUGAAAUGCGUAGAGAUGUGGAGGAACACCAGUGGCGAAGGCGGCUUUCUGGUCUGUAACUGACGCUGAGGCGCGAAAGCGUGGGGAGCAAACAGGAUUAGAUACCCUGGUAGUCCACGCCGUAAACGAUGAGUGCUAAGUGUUAGGGGGUUUCCGCCCCUUAGUGCUGCAGCUAACGCAUUAAGCACUCCGCCUGGGGAGUACGGCCGCAAGGCUGAAACUCAAAGGAAUUGACGG
rnacentral:rRNA from 1 species